AGGGGAACCUGCGGAAGGAUCAUUACUGAGUGAGGGCCCUCUGGGUCCAACCUCCCACCCGUGUUUAUUUACCUUGUUGCUUCGGCGGGCCCGCCUUAACUGGCCGCCGGGGGGCUUACGCCCCCGGGCCCGCGCCCGCCGAAGACACCCUCGAACUCUGUCUGAAGAUUGUAGUCUGAGUGAAAAUAUAAAUUAUUUAAAACUUUCAACAACGGAUCUCUUGGUUCCGGCAUCGAUGAAGAACGCAGCGAAAUGCGAUACGUAAUGUGAAUUGCAAAUUCAGUGAAUCAUCGAGUCUUUGAACGCACAUUGCGCCCCCUGGUAUUCCGGGGGGCAUGCCUGUCCGAGCGUCAUUGCUGCCCUCAAGCACGGCUUGUGUGUUGGGCCCCGUCCUCCGAUUCCGGGGGACGGGCCCGAAAGGCAGCGGCGGCACCGCGUCCGGUCCUCGAGCGUAUGGGGCUUUGUCACCCGCUCUGUAGGCCCGGCCGGCGCUUGCCGAUCAACCCAAAUUUUUAUCCAGGUUGACCUCGGAUCAGGUAGGGAUACCCGCUGAACUUAAGCAUAUCAAUAAGCCCGGAGGAAGCCGGGGGA
rnacentral:rRNA from 1 species